rnacentral:lncRNA from 1 species
AUGCAUGUAGUGAAGCUUUUUUUUGGCACUGUACUUGACUCUUCCAUGUUGGACCUCCUCUGUGGGUACUUCCUUUACAACUGGCUCCAAUCAACCUUUCCUUCCAAGUACUCUGCCUUCUUUUCUCAGGCACUGUUCCUGGAGAACUUUCAACUACUCUGGGUGAUGCCAAAGAUACAUUUCACUAAAACAGUAAUUAUGCUUCUGGACCUUUGCCUGGUAAAAUGGAAAAGAUAUAAAAUAUGUGGUAAGUUUAUUAAAUUAUUAUCCAGCUUUUUUUUUCCCUCAGAUUUUUUUCUUUUAUGUUUACAGAAUAGUCAGUAAAGGUAUUGGAUUAGAAUAAUGACAGUGAAUGUUUUUAAAUAAUCUUCCUUGCUGUUUCCUGGCUCCCUUCAAGUCAUAAUUCUGAAGCUUGAUUGGUUGUUCCUACUUUACAUCUAAUAGUAGUUACACUUAAAGUCAUUUCAUACGUACAGACUUUGCUUUUUGUUAAGGACAUUGUCCAUGUUUUGAAUCUUUUGGUUUUGGUUUUAUUUAAAUUAUAUAAGAAUUUCAACCUGAAUAUAAAGAUAAAUGAUUACCUCUAAUAGAGGGAGUAUUAUGUAUGUUGUUUAUGCCUAUUAAAGGUUAAAUAUUAUUUUCAAACGAUAGAGCUAAUUUGGAUUUUGUUGGAAAUAUAUCUAAAUUUUUCUUCAAGUCUCUUAUUACAUGUUUCUCUGUCUGGAAAUUUUCAUCCACAUUAACAAACAUCUUUACUUAUUUUAAUCCUAUUGGCCGAGAUUUCUAUAUGAAGUUCUAAUAAGUGGCAAACACCUUUAGAAAUAUUUGGCAUCUAAAUGUCAACACGACUUUAACACACUGAGAUGAAACAGUAUUCCUCGUGAUAUGGGUUUGGUUUUUGCCUAAGGUAAUAAAAAUUUCAAUAAGCAUUCUCUCACUGAUAACUUUAAUCUUCAUCCUACAUUUGACUUUACAUAAGUAUAAAAUUAUAUAUAUGAAAUUAACUUUGUAAUAAAAAUGCUAUUCUCACUGUAAUCAGUCUUCUUAGCUACAGGCACUUGGACUCACUCUAGCCAGUUUAAACAGAAAAGGAUUUAUGCAGGGUUGUCAGGGACCUCAUGGGAUCACUGAGGGAGCUGAAGGAACAAACUUGAAAGAACUAAACUGCUAAGGGAACCUACUGGAAUAUUCUACAGGUCAAAUGCCCCAGGUUUUUUUAAUAGAUAAAUUAUAAGGGCGGAAAGGGGUAAAGGAGGAACAAUAGAUUAAAAAAGACUUAAAAGGCACAGCAAAUUUUUAAAAAGGGGGCCAAGAUUAAACUAUGAUGUAUAGGGAUACAUACUAUUUAAAGUUAAAUUGAGACAUACUAAAAAUUUUAAGAAUUUAUUUGAUCAAAACUCCAUUCCAAUUGGGCACUGCUUAACUGGAAGCAAUUAGAGCAAUCCAUCAAUAGGUGAUGGAGUGAGAGUUUUAUAGAGAAAAGGUGGAAGCAAAGUAAGGAAAUUAUUCAAUAGCUGGUUGGUUGUGAUUGGUUGUACUUAGGUUUCAAUUUCAUGAGUGUCAUGAGGCACUUACAGACUUAGGCAUUUUGGUUUGCCUACUUUCAUAGGCCUUGGCAUUCGAGUCGUUUUGAUCUGAUGGUCUCCUUGUUUAAUUAAUUUAACAAUAUGUAUGUGAUAAAAUAUAUUUUUAAUAAGCAUAAACAAUGUACAUAAUACAUAAUAGAAUAUAUUUUAAAAAUAAAACAGAAGGAAGUAAUUUUAUAAAUGUCAGGAUAGUGGUUUUAUUUGGGGGGAAAAUAACUUGUGAGGAGGGGUUAUAUGGAGGAGCUUCUGGGUGGUUUGCAAAAUUCUACUUUAUGAUCUGGGUGGUAGUUAUAAGUGAUUUUAUCUUAAAAUGUUAUUCAUUUUUUUCAUAUCUGUAUAUAAUUUUAAAAUAAAAAAGUCAAAAAUAUAAUUAAAAAUAAAAAAACAUGUUGGUAGUAUCAACUUCUUAGGAAGCAAGAUCUGAGGCUAGGUGAAUAGCAUAUCAUUGCUUCUAAGCCCUCUCUACUGACAGAGCAAGGAUACUUAUGUGUGUGCACUGACCUGUGUAUGUACACAUAAAAUAUUUCUUUGUGUAACCAUCUAUUCCUAUAGUAAGCUAAACACCAGAUCCUGCUGUUGUCUCAGGCUCUAAUCCAUUGCCACAUGGAUAUUCUAGACUCUUCCCCUUGCUUAUCUCUAAUUUACCAUUCUAAAUGGAGCCAGGUUUCCCUGACUCAUUCAUUUCCAAAGUUACUUCAGUUGGCCUCUUUCUUCUUUCCCCUUAUAGUGAGGUUUUUUUCGCACAUUUGUAAUAUAGUGAGGUUCUUCGGUCACAAUCAGCAUUCUAUUCUGGAACCGCCUGACUUCCUAAAUGAUUUUUCAAAAAAAAUUGUGUAUAUUAAGGUUCACUUUUUAUGCUGAAUAGUUUAAAUAGGUUUAACAAAUACUUAGUAUCUUGUAUUCGCCAUUACCAUGUCAUACUGAGUAGUUUCACUUAAUUAAUGCUCCUCACCCACUUGAACCUCUGGCAACCACUGAUAUGGUUAUCAUCUCUGUAAUUUUGUUUUUCCCAUGUUGUCACAUAAAUAAAAUUGUAAUAUGUGUAGCUUUUUCAGACUGGCUUCUUUCAAAUAGCAACACACGUUUAAAAUUCAUCCAUGACUUUUCAUGACUUAUUAGCUCUUUUUAAAAAAAUUACUCAGUAAUAUUCUAUUGUAUAUAUGGACCAGAGUUUUUCUUACAUUCACUUGAUGAAAAGCAUCUUGGUUACCUACAGGUUUCAGUAAUUAUGAAAUAAACUGAUAUAAACAUUUGUGUGCACAUUUUUGCGUGGAUGUGUUUUCAAAUCAGUUAAGUAAGUAACCAGGUAUGUUAUUGCUGGAUUGUGUGGUAAUACUGUGUUUAGCUUUUUAAAAAAUUGUUUAGCUGUGAUUGGCAUAGAACGUUAUAUUUGUUUCAGGUUUACAAUAUAAUGAUAUCUGUAUAUGUUGUGAAAUGGUCACCACAAUAAGUCUAGUUAACAUCCAUCACCAUACAUAGUUACAAAAAAAUUUUGUGUAUGUGAUAAGGACUUCUAAGAUUUACUUUCUUAGCAACUUUCAAAUAUAUGCUACAGUAUUAUUAACUAUACUCACCAUACUGUACAUUAUAUCCCCAUAACUUAUUUAUUUUAUAGCGAGACAUUUGCAUUCUUAACCCCCUUCACCCAUUUUAGUCAACCCCCACCCCUUCCUCUAGUGACCACUGAUCUGUUCUCUGCAUCUCUGAGCUAAUUUUUUUGGUGGAGGGAUUUCCACAUAUAAGUGAAAUAAUAUGGUAUUUAUCUUUCUCUGUCUGACUUAUUUCACUUAGCAUAAUGCCCUCAAGGUCCGUCUAUGUUGUCACAAAUGGCAAGAUUUCAUUCUUUUUUAUGCCUGUAUAAUAUUUCAGUGUGUGUGUGUGUGUGUGUGUGUGUGUGUGUAUGUACACCAUAUUCUCUGUAUUCAUCAGUGGAUACUUAGAUUGCUUCCCUAAUAUGGCCCUUAUUCAUAAUGAACAUAGGAGAAUAUAUCUUUUUGAGUUAGUGUUUUCAUUUUCUUUGAUGAUCAAGUGGAAUUGCUUGAUCAUGUGGUAGUUCUAUUUUUCAUUUUCU